rnacentral:rRNA from 1 species
GGUCAAGUGAAGAAGCGCAUACGGUGGAUGCCUUGGCAGUCAGAGGCGAUGAAAGACGUGGUAGCCUGCGAAAAGCUUCGGGGAGUCGGCAAACAGACUUUGAUCCGGAGAUGUCUGAAUGGGGGAACCCAGCCAUCAUAAGAUGGUUAUCUUGUACUGAAUACAUAGGUGCAAGAGGCGAACCAGGGGAACUGAAACAUCUAAGUACCCUGAGGAAAAGAAAUCAACCGAGAUUCCCUUAGUAGUGGCGAGCGAACGGGGACUAGCCCUUAAGUGGCUUUGAGAUUAGCGGAACGCUCUGGAAAGUGCGGCCAUAGUGGGUGAUAGCCCUGUACGCGAAAAUCUCUUGGUCAUGAAAUCGAGUAGGACGGAGCACGAGAAACUUUGUCUGAAUAUGGGGGGACCAUCCUCCAAGGCUAAAUACUACUGACUGACCGAUAGUGAACUAGUACCGUGAGGGAAAGGCGAAAAGAACCCCGGAGAGGGGAGUGAAAUAGAUCCUGAAACCGUAUGCGUACAAGCAGUGGGAGCCCACUUUGUUGGGUGACUGCGUACCUUUUGUAUAAUGGGUCAGCGACUUAUUUUCAGUGGCGAGCUUAACCGAAUAGGGGAGGCGUAGCGAAAGCGAGUCUUAAUAGGGCGUCUAGUCGCUGGGAAUAGACCCGAAACCGGGCGAUCUAUCCAUGGGCAGGUUGAAGGUUAGGUAACACUGACUGGAGGACCGAACCGACUACCGUUGAAAAGUUAGCGGAUGACCUGUGGAUCGGAGUGAAAGGCUAAUCAAGCUCGGAGAUAGCUGGUUCUCCUCGAAAGCUAUUUAGGUAGCGCCUCAUGUAUCACUGUAGGGGGUAGAGCACUGUUUCGGCUAGGGGGUCAUCCCGACUUACCAAACCGAUGCAAACUCCGAAUACCUACAAGUGCCGAGCAUGGGAGACACACGGCGGGUGCUAACGUCCGUCGUGAAAAGGGAAACAACCCAGACCGUCAGCUAAGGUCCCAAAGUUAUGGUUAAGUGGGAAACGAUGUGGGAAGGCUUAGACAGCUAGGAGGUUGGCUUAGAAGCAGCCACCCUUUAAAGAAAGCGUAAUAGCUCACUAGUCGAGUCGGCCUGCGCGGAAGAUGUAACGGGGCUCAAACCAUACACCGAAGCUACGGGUAUCACGUAAGUGAUGCGGUAGAGGAGCGUUCUGUAAGCCUGUGAAGGUGAGUUGAGAAGCUUGCUGGAGGUAUCAGAAGUGCGAAUGCUGACAUGAGUAACGACAAUGGGUGUGAAAAACACCCACGCCGAAAGACCAAGGUUUCCUGCGCAACGUUAAUCGACGCAGGGUUAGUCGGUCCCUAAGGCGAGGCUGAAAAGCGUAGUCGAUGGAAAACAGGUUAAUAUUCCUGUACUUCUGGUUAUUGCGAUGGAGGGACGGAGAAGGCUAGGCCAGCUUGGCGUUGGUUGUCCAAGUUUAAGGUGGUAGGCUGAGAUCUUAGGUAAAUCCGGGAUCUUAAGGCCGAGAGCUGAUGACGAGUUACCCUUUGGGUGACGAAGUGGUUGAUGCCAUGCUUCCAAGAAAAGCUUCUAAGCUUCAGGUAACCAGGAACCGUACCCCAAACCGACACAGGUGGUUGGGUAGAGAAUACCAAGGCGCUUGAGAGAACUCGGGUGAAGGAACUAGGCAAAAUGGCACCGUAACUUCGGGAGAAGGUGCGCCGGUGAGGGUGAAGGACUUGCUCCGUAAGCUCAUGCCGGUCGAAGAUACCAGGCCGCUGCGACUGUUUAUUAAAAACACAGCACUCUGCAAACACGAAAGUGGACGUAUAGGGUGUGACGCCUGCCCGGUGCCGGAAGGUUAAUUGAUGGGGUUAGCUAACGCGAAGCUCUUGAUCGAAGCCCCGGUAAACGGCGGCCGUAACUAUAACGGUCCUAAGGUAGCGAAAUUCCUUGUCGGGUAAGUUCCGACCUGCACGAAUGGCGUAACGAUGGCGGCGCUGUCUCCACCCGAGACUCAGUGAAAUUGAAAUCGCUGUGAAGAUGCAGUGUAUCCGCGGCUAGACGGAAAGACCCCGUGAACCUUUACUAUAGCUUUGCACUGGACUUUGAAUUUGCUUGUGUAGGAUAGGUGGGAGGCUUUGAAGCGUGGACGCCAGUUCGCGUGGAGCCAUCCUUGAAAUACCACCCUGGCAACUUUGAGGUUCUAACUCAGGUCCGUUAUCCGGAUCGAGGACAGUGUAUGGUGGGUAGUUUGACUGGGGCGGUCUCCUCCUAAAGAGUAACGGAGGAGUACGAAGGUGCGCUCAGACCGGUCGGAAAUCGGUCGUAGAGUAUAAAGGCAAAAGCGCGCUUGACUGCGAGACAGACACGUCGAGCAGGUACGAAAGUAGGUCUUAGUGAUCCGGUGGUUCUGUAUGGAAGGGCCAUCGCUCAACGGAUAAAAGGUACUCCGGGGAUAACAGGCUGAUACCGCCCAAGAGUUCAUAUCGACGGCGGUGUUUGGCACCUCGAUGUCGGCUCAUCACAUCCUGGGGCUGAAGCCGGUCCCAAGGGUAUGGCUGUUCGCCAUUUAAAGUGGUACGCGAGCUGGGUUUAGAACGUCGUGAGACAGUUCGGUCCCUAUCUGCCGUGGACGUUUGAGAUUUGAGAGGGGCUGCUCCUAGUACGAGAGGACCGGAGUGGACGAACCUCUGGUGUUCCGGUUGUCACGCCAGUGGCAUUGCCGGGUAGCUAUGUUCGGGAAAGAUAACCGCUGAAAGCAUCUAAGCGGGAAACUUGCCUCAAGAUGAGAUCUCACUGGAACCUUGAGUUCCCUGAAGGGCCGUCGAAGACUACGACGUUGAUAGGUUGGGUGUGUAAGCGCUGUGAGGCGUUGAGCUAACCAAUACUAAUUGCCCGUGAGGCUUGACCAU